UUAAAUUGAAGAGUUUGAUCAUGGCUCAGAUUGAACGCUGGCGGCAGGCCUAACACAUGCAAGUCGAACGGUAACAGGAAGCAGCUUGCUGCUUCGCUGACGAGUGGCGGACGGGUGAGUAAUGUCUGGGAAGCUGCCUGAUGGAGGGGGAUAACUACUGGAAACGGUAGCUAAUACCGCAUAAUGUCGCAAGACCAAAGAGGGGGACCUUCGGGCCUCUUGCCAUCGGAUGUGCCCAGAUGGGAUUAGCUUGUUGGUGGGGUAACGGCUCACCAAGGCGACGAUCCCUAGCUGGUCUGAGAGGAUGACCAGCCACACUGGAACUGAGACACGGUCCAGACUCCUACGGGAGGCAGCAGUGGGGAAUAUUGCACAAUGGGCGCAAGCCUGAUGCAGCCAUGC
rnacentral:rRNA from 1 species